UACGUAGGGUCCGAGCGUUGUCCGGAAUUAUUGGGCGUAAAGAGCUCGUAGGCGGUUUGUCGCGUCUGCUGUGAAAACUAGAGGCUCAACCUCUAGCCUGCAGUGGGUACGGGCAGACUUGAGUGGUGUAGGGGAGACUGGAAUUCCUGGUGUAGCGGUGGAAUGCGCAGAUAUCAGGAGGAACACCGAUGGCGAAGGCAGGUCUCUGGGCACUUACUGACGCUGAGGAGCGAAAGCGUGGGGAGCGAACAGGAUUAGAUACCCCUGUAGUCC
rnacentral:rRNA from 1 species